ACGGAUAACGGGGCCUUUAUGGCUUUCGACAGAGGACUAUUUGUUAAAACAACUAUAAAGAAUAAAUAAGCAAAAUUCUAAAUUUAUUGAACAAUUAUUUUUGUUUCUUUGCAAUUACAAUAAAUGAAUAGAUACUUGUAAUAUUGUCAAGAAUUAGCUGAGUCGGAAUGUAGUUAUUUAUUCGCAAAAUACAAAAGAGGUUCUCAGGGUGAAGACAACUAAUAUUUUCUAUUCGUUGUUAUAUAUUAUAGUUAUUGUUACGAUUUCAUAUAUUAAACGUGACAUAGUCGACUCGGAAUUUAUUACAAUAUAACUUGGAACAGUAACUCCUUUAGCAUUUUAGGUUACUGCUUAAAAAUUAUAUAUUUAUGAAAAGUUUUGAUAAAAGCAAAUCGUCAAUUAGACCGUCUUUGAGCACAACACAUUCUAUGGAUAUUAGGGACAUAUUGGUCAAUCUUUCUUGAAGAAUUGUACUUUUUAAUUAAUUUUUUAUUCUUUUCAAUUUGGAGAAAGAGCGCUCCCCAAUGUCGUUAGUUAUCAUCAUGUUUAAAAAAAUUCUCAAUGCACAUUCUACAUUUGGAAAUGAAUUUUCAAUUUUAUUUUGUAAUUAUUGGUUGAUUUCCUUAAAACAAAUAUACGUAUUUAUCGGUAAUAAAUAUGGUUUCCGGUUGGUGAAUGAAUCUGGCAGAAACUAUAGGGAACCCCAUCGAUCGCGGGGCUCUGGCACUUGCUCGGAAUUCCCAAUGGAGAAAAGGGGCCUAAUGUUAUAUUUACUUGAGUUACAAGUCGUAACUUUUGAAGAAGUCACACGUGACAAUAAAAUUGUGAAAAUUAAGUUUCAACUGGAAUGUUACAGUGAAUUUGCAUCAAGUAAAACUAGAUUAAAUUAAUCAUAUUAAUGAUAAUUCUAAUAUUCUUUGCAUCUACAAUUUCAUUUCAGAAUUUAGAUUAACACUAAAUCUAUAAAUAACGAAUCUCAAUUUCAUAUUUUCCUUUGAUUCUAAUGUUGCAAAAGUACGUUUAUCUUUGAUACAGUGAUAAAUGAAGAGAUUUACAGACUCAGCAAAUGGAACUCAAGUUGAAAAAAAUAGACCGCCAAGAUUUGACUUAUUAACAAAUAUCGUUAAAUUAGCUUCUGAACUUUUUUCUGUUUUCGAAGUGCCUGCCUGACAGAAAACAAAGUUCUUUAUAGAGUCAACGGUACGUUUAUAUUAACCUGUUGAUUUAUAAUUUUUAAAUUUUUGAAAAACGCUAGUUUACAGUUUUGAAAUCCUAACCAUAACAACAAUCAAGUUGAAAUGGACAGUAUAGUACGUCGAAACUAAAUUACAACUUAAAUUAGCUAUAGGUAGGUAAUAGAUGUUUAAAAAACGCACAUAAUAAUAACAUGAUAAAUCUUCACAGUUUAGUAAGUUAUGUCCAAACAGCGUAUCAAUCUACGUACAUACCAAUAAUGCUGAGAAUUGUUGGAGACCUUGAAAAGUUCAUGACUUACGGAGAGAGAAAAAUUUUGAUAAUAUCGUAAAAUUAAUAGGUAAUUUUAUGAAAGAAACAACAAAUUGUUUGAAAAGUACCUAACCAUACUAAAUUUCAGUCUCUUGAAAAUUUAUGUUGCAAUAUAUCUGAAUGUAGACAACGCUUUCUUAGGUGCAACGAUCGGAAGCAAAUAAUAAAAAUGUAUAACAUUAAAUGAUAAUAGAGUGUAAAAGCGCUAUGUAAAUUUGAGAAGUAAUUUUAAAAAAUUGGGGAUGCAUGAAAUGUAAAUAAGAAUGGAUCCCAUUUUAAAGAAAUUGUGAUCGAAAUUUUAGUUUUCCAUUAAUGGAAUAGCAUUGCUAUAACCGAAAUCCAUUUUUCCAAGUCUUUAAAAGAGCGGUGCAACUACCCCCUCUUCCUUACCUUAACAACACCUUUGCACAUAAAUGCAUAUUUGUUUUAUUUAUUGUUGUUACAUUUAUUUAAUGCAAUGUAUUUUAUUACUUAUACCUGAAUGUCAUUGUGAGCAGCAGGCAACUUACUGAAUCAAAACAAUACGAGAGUCGGAAAAAGAAUUAUACCUACAAUUUGUACAAAUAUGGUGAUUCACAUGAAGUAAACAAUAUAUAAUUUUGUUUAUAGCGGAACGAAGUGUAGAGUCAAAGGUCAUUUCUUCCUCAUGAAUUUUUCAUUAAUUAUUAUAUUUGUAUAUCAGUUCUCAGCCUUGCUCUCAAUAAUAAAUAAUAGACUAUUCCGGAAUGAUGAAAAAUUUCCUUCUUUCCAUUAGUAUAAUAAAUUUUAAGACACGACACCCAUUUAAAAGAUUGUUUAUUUUCUUAUAUGUACUCGUCCGCCUACGAUUAAUACACAGUUUUGUUGUUGUUCUUGUGUUUCAGUAGUAAUUGUGAGAUUUCAUAGAUUUAAGCUGUAAAAGUAAUCAUACCCUUCUAAUAAAUAAAAAUGAACAAAAAGGGUGACCACAACCUGUUUAAAAUGUACCCACUUCAAAAAAGUGAUGAUGGUGAACUAGGACCGAAAGAAGUAAAAACACCCCACAAUCUCAAAAAUUCACUUCAUAGAGUGCCCAAGACAAAAAACUAUGUGACAUUAGGAGUUAUUUGUUGCACUGUCUUUGGUAUUUACGUUACGACCCUUCUGGGGAAAAUUGUAUAGUAUUUAUUACCCAAAUAGAGUUAAACACUUACAUAUUAAAACGAAAAUGAUGCAUUUAAAAAUUGUUGUUUAAAUACUAAGAUACUUGUAUACAUAGACCUGUGACUGUUAAUAAUUUUUGUAAAUUAAAUGAGUUAAAUACAUUCUUCAGAAUA
rnacentral:lncRNA from 1 species